AUGCAGUUUCUGGUAUACUUCA
rnacentral:miRNA from 1 species